rnacentral:rRNA from 1 species
CGGAGGAUCCAAGCGUUAUCCGGAUUUAUUGGGUUUAAAGGGUGCGUAGGCGGCUUUUUAAGUCAGGGGUGAAAGACGGUAGCUCAACUAUCGCAGUGCCCUUGAUACUGAAGAGCUUGAAUGUACUUGAGGUAGGCGGAAUGUGACAAGUAGCGGUGAAAUGCAUAGAUAUGUCACAGAACACCAAUUGCGAAGGCAGCUUACUAAAGUAUGAUUGACGCUGAGGCACGAAAGCGUGGGGAUCAAACAGGAUUAGAUACCCUGGUAGUCCACGCCCUAAACGAUGAACACUCGAUGUUGGCGAUAUACGGUCAGCGUCUAAGCGAAAGCGUUAAGUGUUCCACCUGGGGAGUACGCCCGCAAGGGUG